UGGCUCAGGACGAACGCUGGCGGCGUGCCUAAUACAUGCAAGUCGAGCGAACCACUUCGGUGGUUAGCGGCGGACGGGUGAGUAACACGUGGGCAACCUGCCUGUAAGACUGGGAUAACUUCGGGAAACCGGAGCUAAUACCGGAUAAUCCUUUUCCUCUCAUGAGGAAAAGCUGAAAGACGGUUUCGGCUGUCACUUACAGAUGGGCCCGCGGCGCAUUAGCUAGUUGGUGAGGUAACGGCUCACCAAGGCGACGAUGCGUAGCCGACCUGAGAGGGUGAUCGGCCACACUGGGACUGAGACACGGCCCAGACUCCUACGGGAGGCAGCAGUAGGGAAUCUUCCACAAUGGACGAAAGUCUGAUGGAGCAACGCCGCGUGAGCGAUGAAGGCCUUCGGGUCGUAAAGCUCUGUUGUUAGGGAAGAACAAG
rnacentral:rRNA from 1 species